rnacentral:rRNA from 1 species
AACGUAGGGGGCUAGCGUUGUCCGGAUUUAUUGGGCGUAAAGAGCGUGUAGGCGGCCUGACAGGUCUGCUGUGAAAACUCGAGGCUCAACCUCGAGAUGUCGGCGGAAACCGUCUGGCUAGAGUCCGGAAGAGGAGAGUGGAAUUCCUGGUGUAGCGGUGAAAUGCGCAGAUAUCAGGAAGAACACCUAUGGCGAAGGCAGCUCUCUGGGACGGUACUGACGCUGAUGCGCGAAAGCGUGGGGAGCAAACGGG